CGGGGCUGUGCGCGCGCACGCGUCCACACCGGGGGAAUUCUGCUGCCAGCCCGCGGUUACACAGCAAGUUUUAUUUUAUCCCAUCCAGCUCCAUCGGUGCGAAGUCUCCAAGGAAGACGGCUGGCUGCCGAACAAAGGCGCUGCCGCGCCGAGCUCCGCCACCGCGCCGGGGCAGCUCCCGCGGCACCGCCAGCGCCCGCCUGGCUCCGGCCACGGCCGUGACUAAGCAGCAACGAGAAGCUACGAGCUAGACCCCGGCCGGCAACGGCUGAUUACGGGCUUAAUCUCCCUAAAAAUAGCUCGAUGUGCAGUUUACUCGGCGCACGCCGCCGGAGCGCUUCGUCCUCACCGGCACGCUAGGGAGCUGGGCAGCGAGGAGCGGACGGGGCGCAGGGGGCGCAGCCUGAGAGGCACCCGCACCCAGGACCAGGGUUAAAAUAAUUAAUGGCCUUUUUUUUUUUCUUAAUUUGGCAGCGCUGGGAGCGUGAGAGCGAUGAGAGAAUCGGUGAAGCCCUACAGAAACGGACCCCAGAGAGCUGCCUGCUGCGCAGCCCCGGCACCGGAGCGCAGCAGGGGGCUGGCGAGGGCGCCGCAACCCGAGGGCAAAGCCUCGAGUCGGGUACGCAGCGCUGGUGACAAACUGGGGGACAUCUGGUGCAAGAAACCCCAUUUCGGAGGAAACGCCGGGCGCUACACCCUGUUGUACAGCUACAGGCUGCUGCCAGAAGUUGUGCCUGGAGCUGGAUGAGGAGCACUGACGGCGUCGCGGGCAGGCAGCGCACCCGAGAGCUGCGGAGGUCAAAGGCGGCUGGCAUCUCAUUUUAAAUAGAUGGCAAAAACAGCGAGAAGCAAAAACACCACGUACGCUGUCAUCAGAUGUGGUUCUGGGCGGCGCUUUUUUUUUUUUUUUUAAGCUCCAUUAAAAACCUCAGCAUCCU